GUUUUGUUUAAACAACCCAAAGUUAUAUUUUUUAACAUUAUCAAAAUUGUCUAGUGAGAAAAUAUAAGUAGGUACUUAACAUAAUUUAGCUUAUUUGAAAUUGAAAAAUCGGGAAUACUUUAUAGAUGUCAUACAGCAGUCAGUAAUAAUAGUAUGUGGUUUCAGAUCAAAUUCUACUUUUUCAGUUCAAUAAUUGGUUAUCUGUUACGCUCGUGUAAUCUGAGUCUUGAGACUUCCGAUAAAGAGAAACGCAGAACAUUAUUUUUCAUAUCUUUUGUUUUCGAAUAGACAUUUUAAUAUUAUGUGUGGUGAAUCACUAACAUAAUGUUCUAAAUUUAAGUUUAAUGUAAAUUUGUUUAGUAAUUUUUGUACUUCCU